rnacentral:lncRNA from 1 species
GUCCUGACUACUAUUUACUGUGUGUUUAAUCACAGAGGCUUUGGAGGGAGCCGAAUCUGUCUGGAGAAAGCAAAGCUGAAAAAGUAAUGUUAUUUCAUUUUUUAAUGGGUGAGAAGCUAGACAGAGGGGGUGGGGGGAGGCUGGAAAAUCAAACCACAUUUUGGAGGGGGAAGUGAGGCAGAAUAGUCCCAACUUCAUUUUUGUUCAAUAUGUUAAUGCUAAAUGUUUGACAGCCACACAACUUCUUUAGGGAUUACUCUGCUCCCUGUAUUUAGACUGGUCUUAGCACAAAGAAUAAUGUUUAAGAAUAACAGAAACCUUUAAAAUUAUUAAUUGUAAAGCAGACUGAAAUGAAUAAACCUUGUUUUCCCUCCUGUGUACCCAAGGGGUGGUACUGGCACAGUGCAGGAGCUCCUUGUUGGGUCAGGGGGAUGCAGGAGGUGCUGUGGGAACAGAGCAGGCACCCAUAGGUGGUAGCAGCAGUGUGGCUGUGGGGUUGGGAGCAGUGAAGACAUAGUUGGCUUGUGGUGUUAGAAGCUGCAGAGGGGAGGAGGGGAGUGCUGGAGUUGGGUGGGGGGACUGGCAGGUUGCUCACAGCUGCACUUUAUAGGUCCUGCUUGAGAGCAAAUGUAUUUAUUUAGCUGGGGAAAAGGGGGGAGGGUAUGGCCUGCUGGUUACAAAUAGAUUCUGUUGUAUGGGUUUAAGAUGCAGGAAGAAAAUAGACCAGAUGGGUGUUCUGGAUGGGGGGCUCUUAUCUUUUUUCCAUGCCUUGCUGGGGGUUCAGGGCUGUGUGCUACCCUUUAAUUCUGCUGUUCACCUUCAGCACAGCAAGGUCCUCUGGCAUCAGGGUCUCCUGAACUCCCACAUAGCUGGAGCUGAAAUACUCCAGCUAUUCAUCUCCAGGUUUUAUCUCCAUGCACAAAAAAUGCU